ACCCCCGACUUUGGAACCAGAGUCUCCUAGAAUUGAGGCACCUAAGGUUGUGCGCUCAUCUACAGUCAUGUCAGCAUCAGGUCUUAGUUUGCUAGCUGGAACUACAAUACCACCUAAAAGAAGUGAGGUCAAUACAGACAUA